GGGGGCAACCCUGGUGGCGAGUGGCGAACGGGUGAGUAAUACAUCGGAACGUGCCCAGUCGUGGGGGAUAACGUAGCGAAAGCUACGCUAAUACCGCAUACGAACUCUGGUUGAAAGCGGGGGAUCGCAAGACCUCGCGCGAUUGGAGCGGCCGAUGGCAGAUUAGGUAGUUGGUGGGGUAAAGGCCUACCAAGCCGACGAUCUGUAGCUGGUCUGAGAGGACGACCAGCCACACUGGGACUGAGACACGGCCCAGACUCCUACGGGAGGCAGCAGUGGGGAAUUUUGGACAAUGGGCGCAAGCCUGAUCCAGCCAUUCCGCGUGCAGGAUGAAGGCCCUCGGGUUGUAAACUGCUUUUGUACGGAACGAAACGGCCCUGGUUUAAUACCCGGGGCUAAUGACGGUACCGUAAGAAUAAGCACCGGCUAACUACGUGCCAGCAGCCGCGGUAAUACGUAGGGUGCGAGCGUUAAUCGGAAUUACUGGGCGUAAAGCGUGCGCAGGCGGUGAUGUAAGACAGGUGUGAAAUCCC
rnacentral:rRNA from 1 species